rnacentral:misc_RNA from 1 species
UUAGGCUAUUUUCAUAGUUUAUAUUCAGACUUCAAGGUUUACUUCAGAGUUUUAAAUUUGACCUUCGGCGGGCACGCGAGCUGCAAGAGCCAGCGGGGCAAAGCCUCAGCCCGCCAAAGCAACUAAUGUAUAACAGGCAAUGGGUGGAGAGGCGCCCCGAAGGGCUUUCUCUUUUAAUGAUCCUUCCGCAGGUUCACCUACGGAAA